GACGAACGCUGGCGGCGUGCUUAACACAUGCAAGUCGAACGGAAAGGCCCUGCUCUUGUGGGGUGCUCGAGUGGCGAACGGGUGAGUAACACGUGAGUAACCUGCCCUUGACUUUGGGAUAACUUCAGGAAACUGGGGCUAAUACCGGAUAGGAGCUCCUGCUGCAUGGUGGGGGUUGGAAAGUUUCGGCGGUUGGGGAUGGACUCGCGGCUUAUCAGCUUGUUGGUGGGGUAGUGGCUUACCAAGGCUUUGACGGGCAGCCGGCCUGAGAGGGUGACCGGCCACAUUGGGACUGAGAUACGGCCCAGACUCCUACGGGAGGCAGCAGUGGGGAAUAUUGCACAAUGGGCGGAAGCCUGAUGCAGCAACGCCGCGUGCGGGAUGACGGCCUUCGGGUUGUAAACCGCUUUCGCCUGUGACGAAGCGUGAGUGACGGUAAUGGGUAAAGAAGCACCGGCUAACUACGUG
rnacentral:rRNA from 1 species